rnacentral:rRNA from 1 species
UACGGAGGGUGCAAGCGUUAUCCGGAUUCACUGGGGUUAAAGGGUGCGUAGGUGGGCAGGUAAGUCAGUGGUGAAAUCUCCGGGCCUAACCCGGAAACUGCCGUUGAUACUAUCUGUCUUGAAUAUAGUGGAGGUGAGCGGAAUAUGUCAUGUAGCGGUGAAAUGCUUAGAUAUGACAUAGAACACCCAUUGCGAAGGCAGCUCGCUACACUAUCAUUGACACUGAGGCACGAAAGCGUGGGGAUCAAACAGG